GCAAUCCUAAUGUGUUCGUCUUCUCCGUCGUACGUUUUGACCGAACACUUUUAUGUAAGGGAGUCUGGCGUUUCUGCGUGGCGUAUAUGCCUUUUUGAGGACAUACAAGACGCAGAACAGGACACCCACCUGCCUGGAGCGGGUUCAAAACAUUAAGGAGGAACGGCACAAUUGGGAUUGUG
rnacentral:other from 1 species